rnacentral:lncRNA from 1 species
CGAGUUAUGACCAUUGAAAGUUGGGCAAUUGGCAGGGAAUCCGUCCGGAAAAAUUAAGGGCAUUUUAGUCUUUUCCCUAGCCAAUUCUUUUGGGAUUAUAUUGUUGUAUAGGGCUGAUCCUUGGAUCAUUUUGUCCCAUUUUAAAAGAGUAAAAGCUAGGGCUUGAGAAGAAGAAGAGAAGAAGAAGAGAAGAAGGAGAAGAA